AACUCGGAACUGCAGCCCCAGCUGUAAAAAUCUUACAACUCUGAAAGCCUCUUCAGAGGUCCGAAGUUAAGGUUGUUGGCAAUGACUCCAUCUUGGAUCUUUUAGCAUUUUCCUUUCAGAAGCACAGGCAGCUUUAUCCUGUCUCCAUCCACAGACUGCAACCUCUACAGCAAGGACAGAAAUACCACCUGACAAAAGAUGGCUGAGCAUGUCGUGGUGAUCCAAACCAGCCAUACAACUGCCAGGUCUCAAAGGGUGCAGUGCAGAGAGAAGCAAAAGUGUGGGAGGGAAAACAAUGGUCCAGAGCACCACGUCACUGAGUAGCCAAGUUGGGAAUCCCUCCUGAAUCAAUCCUGCCUCCGGACAAAGCUGCUCCUUCCUUGUGUGUACAACAGAUGCCCACACCAAAGUAAUUACCAUCUGGGAGAUGCUGACUGGCUGGAAGAACCUGUUCAUUCUGGGUCUGUAAUGGAGUCUGUGAGGAGCUCAGCUUCCUGGUGUGGAAGAAGGAGAACUUCCUUAUCAACAACUGAGAAGAUUCUGAAGAACUCCAAGGCAAUUCCUGCUGCUGUCAUUCAGCUGUGAGCCCUGAGUCAUGGCGCAGAUGGGGCCACUGUGCUGACCAGAAGCACUGUGGGCACCACGAGCUGGCAGAGAUGACCAGGAGGAGCAGGAGCUGAAGAACAACGUGGACAGGACUCAACUCUAUAAACCAGAACCGAGCUGGCUUUGGCCAUGGGCGGAUGGAAACCGCUGAAAAACAACUUCUACACAAACAUUGUGAAAGGCAGCAACUGGCUGAUGGGGAGGACUUUCCAAAGCCACGGAAGGAAGUCACC